rnacentral:rRNA from 1 species
GGAAUAUUGGUCAAUGGGCGCGAGCCUGAACCAGCCAAGUAGCGUGCAGGAUGACUGCCCUAUGGGUUGUAAACUGCUUUUAUGCGGGAAUAAAGUCAGGUACGUGUACCUGUUUGUAUGUACCGCAUGAAUAAGGACCGGCUAAUUCCGUGCCAGCAGCCGCGGUAAUACGGAAGGUCCGGGCGUUAUCCGGAUUUAUUGGGUUUAAAGGGAGCGCAGGCGGAAGGUUAAGCGUGACGUGAAAUGUACCGGCUCAACCGGUGAUGUGCGUCGCGAACUGGCUUUCUUGAGUGAGUACGACGCUGGCGGAAUUCGUGGUGUAGCGGUGAAAUGCUUAGAUAUCACGAAGAACCCCGAUUGCGAAGGCAGCCAACAAGGCCUUUACUGACGCUAAAGCUCGAAGGUGCGGGUAUCGAACA